rnacentral:lncRNA from 1 species
CCCUUGCAUAGGUUGCGUUUGGACAGAGAGAGACGAGAGGCCAGCAGCUGCAAACAGCAGAGACAGUAAUGACAUGGUGGCUUCACAAAACUGUAAGUCCAGUUGUAGGGGAGCUUGUAUUAGAUUAAAAAUGCUGCAGCCCUUAGACACAAGGUGCUGAACUACUAUACGACCACAUUGUUUGACUGAAGCUGGGGGUGUGGUGAGAAUAUUUAUAUAAACAUAUGAAGGAGUAAUUUUUGUCUGCCAGGAUUGCAUAAGAUCAAGUAUCAGAUAACCAUAUUUCUGAAUGGAGCUUAUUUGCCAGCCCAAAGGCUCCUUUGCCAGUUCUUUCAUGGUACCUUUGUGCUCUUACUGGUGCUUUGCCAUGGAACUCAAAUGUUUCCGAAGAAAUAAAUAUGCAGGUUUGGGUGCAUAUUUACUCUUAUGCUUCUGGUGUGUUUGUUGUAAACUGUCUCAACUCCAUCAACAGCAACUUUGAAGAAUUUGGUGAUGGCGUAGCAUUACUGAUCAGACAGAGCCUGGACCGGAGCCACAGUGGAAAUCGUGUACUUGGCAAGCAGACCCCUUCAGCAUUGUUCCACAUGAUCCCAAGUGAACCAAGCAAGAGACUACCCGUUGUUCAAGAAUUCUUGAAAACAGCGAUGGCAAUGCAGUGUUUUAAAUGUUUUAAUUCUAGGACCACUUCACAGAAAAUAUCUGAGCAGAAGACCCAAACAUCUGAAGAGUGUGCCUGGAAUAUGACUCUUCAGCAGACACCAAAUGUGCUCCAGAAAAGAAGCACUGAAAGUACCACUUUAGUAUGAACAAACCUGCUCUACUUACUUGAACUUUUUGGCCUAUAUGUGAAGGAAUGCAAGAAUCAGCAGUGACUGUAAAUGAUUUCAGUGGCCAAGAAAGUUUUGCUGCCCAUGUCUUUGCUCCCUUCCUUCCUGAUCCAUGUGUUCUUGGUGCAGGCACCCACUCUUCCUUGUUCAGAUUAUAACAGGCUUCGUUGUGAAUUGACAUGACCCACUGCUGACUGAAAGUGGUUCCCAAAAAGACAUCAUUAGCGUGGAGCUGGCAUAGUGCAAGCACCAGGAGUGAGUGGUCAGUGCUGGGGCAGAAAGGAAGGGUGGGAAGGGCAGGUAGCAGUGUAUGCAUCAACUGUGGAAGAGUUUUGAGUCGACUUCCUAAAUCUGUGGAGCCCCUUGAAGAUGAACAGUCUGUCUUGCAACCAAGGACAGUGAAAAUGCUAACUAGUAAGGUUCCAUAAACUCUGGUUAACAAUAUUGCUAAAAUUACUAAUGAAGGCAAAAACUGGAAGGUAAUGCUCUUCAAGCCUGUCUUUGCUGCAGGUGUACCACUCAUAAUGGAGUAAUAUGCAGCUGAAACUUAAUUGGAACACUAAGGAAAGCUUGAGCUAUUUAUGGUAUUUAAUAAUUUAAUAGUACAAAGUGCACUGAUUGUAGUAGUAUUCAUUUUUCUAUUUAAUUUAAUUAUUACUUCUAUUUCUUAAUUAAUAAUGCAAGAGUGUAUUUUUGUAUAGCACUUUUUUCUGAGCAGUUCCCAUUUUGCACCAGUAUUUAAUCAAGAUCUUCCUGCUGUUUGCAAAAAAUUAGUACAUUCCAGUAUACACACAUUCUGAAAAAUUGCUUGAGUCUGUAAUAUAUGAGAUCACUGCAAGGCUCAUAAAGAGGAUCUUAUCACUAAAUGUUUAUUCCAGGAUGUGUAAGAGCCCUCUAAUUUUUACAUUCUUAUGUUUACAACUCUCAGGUAAAAACAGGGAGUUUUAUUUCUCCCACUACAGCUGGCAUUUCAAAGCAUGGAGAUGUUAAAGUCUGUCCCAAAAAGUUAUUUAAGAUCAUGGAUCCCACUGGAUGACUUGGCUAGAGUGCAAAGAAAAGCUUUUGUGGAACAAGCACUGAACUUACAUCUGCCAAACCCAAGAGGAUCUUCCUUACUGCUGGACUUUACUGUCUCACUAAGGUUGCAAUAAAGGGUUCUUUAAAGCUGGGUUUAGAGUACUU